rnacentral:tRNA from 1 species
GCCAGCGUAGCUCAGCGGUAGAGCAGCUGAUUCGUAAUCAGCAGGUUCAGGGUUCGAAUCCCUGCGCUGGCU